GUUUUAGGAAGAGUAAGUCACAAAGCAGCUUAGGUAUAAUGCAGGCCUGAUUUCCCACAGGAGAACUUCUUUACAGGUGUGGUCCUGCAUGCCAACUCUCUCCCCAUUGGUUUUCCAUGUGGGUGCUGAGCUACAUUUCCAUGCCCUGUGAAGCGGUUCCCUACACCUCCUCCCUUGUUUUUAGUUAGGACUGCUAUAGAACCUACAAAGCUUGUUACUUGCUGGUCUCUUAUACAACCUUGGGAAAAUAAUUUGCAAAUGCAUCAAAGUACACAAAGCAUUAUUUGGAUCAGUAAACAUCUGGUGGCUCCAAAUACCCACAUUCUCAGAUUAAGUCCAUCAAACCAAUUUUUGGGGUUCAGCCAAAUGAAAUUAUCAUGGAGAUUCUGAAAAACUUCCUGCUCAGUUAAGCAUUGAAUGUCCUGCAGCUGCUGAUGUAGCUCUAGCUUCAAUUUAUCAAUUUUUCCCUUUAAGUUGGUAGAAAAAGCUCCACUUAGGUGAUGUUGAAUAUCACUCCAGGAGGGCUGGCUGGAAUUCCACUGGAGUGUGGUGACACACAGCUUGGAGAAGUCUGGAUCGGGAGGGUCCAAUGGGUGGAGGUGGGUCAAGGCCUGGGAAGCCUUUUCUGUGAUAUGGCUUCACCCUCUUCACUGGCAGUUCCAAAGGACAUUCUCGAGAUCUUUCUUUCCCCUGAU